rnacentral:ribozyme from 1 species
UGCCCAGCAACUCCUAUCCCAACCUUCGUGGUACUGGCCGGAAACUACGAGCAUCCUUAGGGAAGAUCGGGUAAGCAACCCCGAUGGAAACUUUGGUCGUAGGCUGACAGGAAAGG